rnacentral:rRNA from 1 species
CCUACGGGAGGCUGCAGUGGGGAAUAUUGGACAAUGGGGGGAACCCUGAUCCAGCCAUGCCGCGUGUGUGAAGAAGGCCCCCGGGUUGUAAAGCACUUUCAGUGAGGAAGAACGCCUGGUGGUUAAUACCCAUCAGGAAAGACAUCACUCACAGAAGAAGCACCGGCUAACUCCGUGCCAGCAGCCGCGGUAAUACGGAGGGUGCGAGCGUUAAUCGGAAUUACUGGGCGUAAAGCGCGCGUAGGUGGCUUGAUAAGCCGGUUGUGAAAGCCCCGGGCUCAACCUGGGAACGGCAUCCGGAACUGUCAAGCUAGAGUGCAGGAGAGGAAGGUAGAAUUCCCGGUGUAGCGGUGAAAUGCGUAGAGAUCGGGAGGAAUACCAGUGGCGAAGGCGGCCUUCUGGACUGACACUGACACUGAGGUGCGAAAGCGUGGGUAGCAAACAGGAUUAGAUACCCCUGUAGUC